UGAUCUGUCUGAGAGUAAAUACUCAUUUAGUUAUAACAAACUCACACCUGAUUGCUAAAAAUUACAUGUGAAAACUACUGUAUAAACAAUAACUUUUUAAGAUUUUAAU
rfam:Populus trichocarpa isolate Nisqually-1 chromosome 11, whole genome shotgun sequence.